GAAAGAGAGAACCAGAAAGGAAAAAAAAAAGGAGAAAACUGGAAAAGGCACAAAAAGAAGAAAAAACACAAAGGGAAGACACACAAAUACACGUACAAAUUGAAAAAAAUUGAAAAAAAAAAUCGAAUAGAAAAUCCAACUGAAGGAAAAGAAAGGAAAAGAGUUCGGGUUUAGGGUUUGGGGUUUUCGGUGAUAUCGUUCAUAAUUAG
rnacentral:lncRNA from 1 species